UACGUAGGGUGCGAGCGUUGUCCGGAAUUAUUGGGCGUAAAGGGCUCGUAGGCGGUCUGUCGCGUCGGAUGUGAAAACUCUGGGCUCAACCCAGAGCCUGCAUCCGAAACUGGAGUGCUAGAGUUCUGGAGGGGGUAGCGGAAUUCCUGGUGUAGCGGUGAAAUGCGUAGAUAUCGGGAGGAACACCAGUGGCGAAGGCGACUUCCUGGCCUGUUCUUGACGCUGAGGCGCGAAAGCUAGGGGAGCAAACGGG
rnacentral:rRNA from 1 species